AUAUAACCCAUUCCUCCCUUUCCAUACAGAUGCUGUGUCUGAUUGGUCUCCUAUGCAUGAAGCUGCAAUCCACGGACAUCAGCUGUCUCUGAGGAACCUCAUCAGCCAGGGGUGGCCUGUGAACAUCAUCACGGCAGAUCAUGUUUCCCCACUCCAUGAAGCCUGUCUUGGAGGUCAUCCCUCUUGUGUAAAGAUUUUAUUAAAGCAUGGAGCUCAGGUGAAUGGUGUGACAACAGACUGGCACACUCCACUGUUUAAUGCUUGUGUCAGCGGCAGCCGGGAUUGUGUGAAUUUGCUUCUGCAGCACGGAGCCAGCGUUCAACCUGAGAGUGAUCUGGCAUCCCCCAUCCAUGAAGCUGCUAGGAGAGGCCACGUGGAGUGUGUUGACUCUCUUAUAGCUUAUGGGGGCAACAUUGACCAUAAGAUCAGCCACCUGGGCACUCCACUCUAUUUGGCUUGUCAA
rnacentral:sRNA from 1 species